GGGGCUGCAUUGGUUUCGACGUGGGUUCGUAUCCGCAGCAGGGCAUGUCGAGGUGCUGUCACCUCGUUAAACCGCAGCAAAAAAGUAACUGCGAACGACGAACGUUUCGCCCUCGCCGCCUAAUCCGGCGAGCCUUGCACCGGUCGGCCGAGCGGCCGGGCUGUGAAGACCGUCAGGUUUUCCAGCAGCAAGGAACAUUCAAUUCGGCUGGUCGUGCGGCGGGCAACUUGCCGCACGGCGAGAUCCAAGGUUGCUGGUCACGGGCGUAGCGUGCCGCUGCGCGACG
rnacentral:tmRNA from 1 species